CGAGCGAGAGCAAACCUUGUGACAGGAGCGGAGGAACCACACGUUUCUCCGGGCGUCCGGCGCCACGACUCCGGACGUCCUUGGGGUGAAGUACUCGCCCGGAUCGCGACUCGUCGCGGACCGGGGGAGAGCCGGGCACCUUUCCGCCCGAACCCGACAGCUAACUUCGUAGGCGCGGAGAGGUACA
rnacentral:sRNA from 2 species